GGCUUCGUGAAACUUCUAUCCAAUCCUUCAAUGAAUAAUUAGAAUCACUGUUUCCAUCCCGAUUAUAUUUUAAAUCGUAUCGUAUUAAUAGUCUUUUUUUUUUAAAUCUUUAAAUCUUCGCGCGCUAAAUAUUAGAGUGGAUGGACUUUUGUCGAGAGGACAAGACAGCUUACCUCCACAUCCUACACGAGAAUAGCCUUCGCUAUGACUUGCUAAUGAGCCGUAGAAGCGAUCAAUCGUAAUGAUCUUCGCGUCCAAUGGCGAGUCGCAUGCAUUUUUGUUCCACCGGUGGCUCGAUCGUGUCGUAGGACGAAAGAUCAGAAUCGACGCGAGCGAUUGAUUCUAUUCGUAGAUAUUCGCAACAUAAUAGACGAGUCUCGAUCCUCGGUGAUUACCUUGCCUUGACAAGACGACAUCGCUCUCCAAAGUGUGAUUGAAGAAAGAGGAGAGGAAAAAGGAGGCGUGCUUUUCUUCUCUGAAGGUGUCGAUCGAGCCUUCAAUGCACGCGAUAUACGGCGGGAUAAACGUUUCUCGAGGAGGUCUUCUUCCCCGACACCUGCAAUUAACGAGAGACUUCCUACGAGGGACUUCCAUAUCGUGGACAAGUUUCGCGAUAAACAGCGAGUUAGCUCGUUAAUUCGAGCAAUUCCGCACACUCUUCGUGCUCUUCUUCUCCUAGCUUGGCUUCCUAUUUCUAAAACCGCUUCCGAUUUUCCCACUUUUCGAGGAGAAUCACGAUUAACCCUUUGCUCCCCAGAGGUCACCACUGGGAUUGUUGCGGCAACUCGAACGGCGACAAUAUUUAUUUAUGUUUGAUUUUUUUAGAAUAUAUUAUAAAUAGGUUCCUAAGCCCUUUACGUAUAAUCUUAUGAGGUGUAAUCUUAUCUUAUGAUAAUUUUGUGAGGCCACUAAACGCUUGGAACGCGCGGGUCUGAAUCUGGAAUUGUUCGACCGAGCGAAACAGGCAAACUGGAGUGCAAAGGUUAAACGAUCGAAGAGAGCUCGAUCGAUCGAUUUUAUCUACGUACGUGUGAUGGAUGAUCAAACGGAUAUCCACGGAUCGAUGUAUGUCAUAAUUGACGAGAGAUUACGCAAGGAAUGUUGAGAAAGAAAACUUGUUCUUGCGAGCAAAGCGGCUAUAAAUAAAAAGCAUCCGGUCUUGUUUCUUCUCAAAGGAACGCUUUCCUCCUCCUGUUCUAUAUAUUUCAUUCUCAUCGUAUCGAAUUGUCGAUGAUACGUACGAAAAUAUUUGCUUAAAUAAUCCGAUUCUCUUAUUCUAUUGGUUGAUUGGUUGUAUCAAAUUAUUUUUGAUACGAAAUAUAAUGAUUAUUAAAUUAAGAACAAAGGGAUCGUGAAAGGAAGAAAAAUAAUUUGGAUUCUUGGAUUCUUCACCUCAAUUUUUCAAUUUCGAGUUAUAAUACGAUAUUUGUUUUUCUUCUUUAUCUCUUUCUCCUUCAUCACGUUUCUUAUAUAUUCCAUUACAACGGAUCUCGUAUUCUUGUCAUAAUUAUACCGUUUGAAACCGGGUGUAUACGUUUACCCCCGUUCAUUUAAUUCCAUUUCUCUCAGAUGAUGCAACUUUUUCACGAGAAAAAGAGGAAGGAGAAAUCUCUCCUUACUGGAUUUUUAAAACUAGGAAACCUCGAUUCUCGAUGAGCAGAAUUUUUCAUCGAUUCCUCGACCUGUCGAGUAGCAACUUCGAGGACAAAAGGAGAGAAGGAGCGCGUCCAUCCACCGGUGUGUGUUUUUCCCGUUUCCGGAAUAUUGCGAGGAGACACGCCUUUUAUUAUCGUUUUUCCCGAGAGCCGAGAAACAUAAAUCUAUCCGUGACACAGGAAAGGCGGGUUUUCACGCGCGUAUAUUUGCCUCGACUUGUUGAGCACACGCUUAAAAUAAUAUAAAAUGCAAUGAUGAUCAGUUUCGAAAGUAUCGGUGAUUUUUCAAAACUGCCGAGUGUGAGAAAUCUGGAAAGGAAAAUCUAUUCUCGAAAGAAUAUUCUGGUCGCAGUAUCGCGAUAAGUUCGAAAGAAUAAGAGGAGGAAGAUUAAGAACGGAAGAAUAAGAGGAGGCCUACGUCCAUCGAUAGAGAAACGUAUUAUAGAACGAAAGAUAGAAACUGUGACUCGUGACUACUAUUUCGAAGCAUUUUUCGUCGUUAAAAACGUUUUAAAGACACGUAGAAUCUUAUGAAAGUAUCAAUGAAUCGUAUACGCUUAUCGAAA